GACGAACGCUGGCGGCGUGCCUAAUACAUGCAAGUAGAACGCUGAAGGAGGAGCUUGCUCUUCUGGAUGAGUUGCGAACGGGUGAGUAACGCGUAGGUAACCUGCCUGGUAGCGGGGGAUAACUCUUGGAAACGAUAGCUAAUACCGCAUAAGAGUAGAUGUUGCAUGACAUUUACUUAAAAGGUGCAAUUGCAUCACUACCAGAUGGACCUGCGUUGUCUUAGCUAGUUGGUGGGGUAACGGCUUACCAAGGCGAUGAUACAUAGCCGACCUGAGAGGGGGAUCGGACACACUGGGACUGAAACACGGCCCAGACUACUACGGGAGGCAGCAGUAGGGAAUCUUCGGCAAUGGACGGAAGUAUGACCGAGCAACGCCGCGUGAGUGAAGAAGGUUUUCGGAUCGUAAAGCUCUGUUGUAAGAGAAGAACGAGUGUGAGAGUGGAAAGUUCAAACUGUGACGGUAUCUUACCAGAAAGGGACGGCUAACUACGUG
rnacentral:rRNA from 1 species